AAUAAGUUCAUUUUUCAGUUUUUUGAUACCAUGUAGACUCUUCGUCUUAUUUGAAAUUUUUUUGCGAUUAAUAUUUCUAUUGUUACUAGAUGAUAAAACAUGAAUAGUACUUUAUGUGUGACUAAUUUUUUAAAAUUUUUGUACAAAUUUUUCAAAUAGAUGAAUGGUCAAACGUUGGACACCAAAAUUGAAAAAUAAAGUUAUU
rnacentral:pre_miRNA from 1 species